GGCAACUUCCUGUGGCAUAGCUCUGUCCGUCCAGCAGGCAUUCAAGGAGCCCCGGGCUAUCGCGCAUCAUUAUUAUCUGCUCCUCUCUUGGCUUCAGUUGCAUUAACAGUCCGAGAGAUGAAUGCCCACACAAGUGCAGAAAGUUCAGACCGGCUCCGCGCAAGUUCAGGCUGGUUCUGCUCAAGCUGACAUUUCCUUUCGCAGAGGCUGAUUCAAACAGUCUGCGAAGGACACACCCACAAAGAGAAGAAAAUCAUCCAGGAAAUUUGGGGACGCUAGGACAUGAAAGGCUGAUACGGCUGUUUCGGCUCCUACCCUCAAAAAGAAGACUGUAGGUAAUCUUCACUAGCUUAUCUGCCUGCUUCCAAGCAAAAGAGAUAAUGAAAUAUUAUUAAUUGAAUGCUCAAAUUAUUGUGACUCCAGAAGACGUACUUUAUGGAUGGAAAUUUAUCAGGGAAUCCAUUUUUCCUUAUCUGGAGGAUAUCCUUGCACCCCACGUGAAUUGGAUUCCAUGUCAAGACCCUCCCCACAGAUAUUUUAACUAUCCUCAUUGUUUGUGCAAAAAUGCCGGAAUUCUCUAAAAUGUGCAUGUUCACCACAGCAAAAUGAUGAAUCCUGAAUUAUCAUGUAUGUGGCAUAUGAUAUUGUUCUAUUUGUCUUGGCAUUUGUUUAAAAAAUGUGUGCUUAGAUACCAUUUAACAAUCAUUUAUGAUUGAAUAGCUUUAUUAAAUUUGGAGAAAAUAUGUGAACAAGAUAUUUAUGGCUAGGAUUAGAAGCUAAGGGGAAGAGAAUCUCAUGUAGUCAAGUAAUAAAUUAAUUUCUGAAGUGGACAGUGGGUUGUGUUUGGGAAAUAAUCCAAGGUCUCCACUGAAGUUACCAUACUUCAAUCUCAUGGAACGUUUUUGUUCCAGGAUCUACUUCCUAGAAAGAAAGACCUCACUAUGUCCAUUCUUGUGAAUCAUAAGAUCUUAUACUUUGAAACUUCGUGUUCUCCUUGGCUCAUAAAGCUAAUUUUCCUGAGGAAAAAUACUCUAGAAACUUUCUAAUAUAAAGCAUUUAAUACAUGUAAGUGCCUAUUGGCACACACUCUCUCUCCUGUCAAAUCCUCUCUUACUCUCUCAUACUUUCACUCUUUUACCAUUUUUGUUUGUUUGUUUUGAUGGAGGAUUCUGAAUACCAUACUUUUUAAAGCAUACCUGGUUAUUCUGACAUUUAUAGAAGGGUUAUUAGGAAACAGCUUUUCUUAGCUCUAGAGAGACACAAAGAGGAAGAUAUUGAUAGAAGACAGCUGGUUUUCCCAUCCUUCUUGUCCUGACUUGAUGCUGUCUAUGGCGUUUGUAAAUUUUCUUUGGUGCCAGAAAAGAAGUCAAUAGCUGGAUGGUCUUCCUGCGCAGAAGUUUUGAGAACUGGGACAACUCAUUUAUUUUUCAACUUACACUAGGAUUGAGUUCUGGAUUUCCGGUUAAGAGCAACAUAUGUUGUAAAUUUACGGACUAGUCAAAGAUCACAGUAGCUAUGGAAACUAGUGAAGGUUGAGGGAAAGGUUUUUACAUAUGGUUGGUAAAGAGCUCUGUCACAGCCCACAGUAGAGAGAAUGAAUUCUGACAGAAUAUAUCCUCAGCCAGAUAGUCACAUUUAAUUCACCUACCUCACCAUGCAGCCAUUAUUUAUUGAGCACCUAUGACGUGCCAGAUACUAUUCCAGAAAUAGGAGAUGCAGCACUCAACAAAAUGAAGUUUAUGCCCUCCCACCAUGGCUUAUGAAUAUUUAGCGAGAGAAGACAGAGGUAAAAAAACCUCACUUAUUAUAUAGAAUGUUGUAUGGUGAUCCGAAUAGAUAUGUCUUAGAUGUCAAGGUGGCAGGAUUUGUUGUCAGAUUGUGGGAGGAUGAGAGAAAGACAAACAUCAGGAGGGAGGGACUCCCAUUUUUGGCCUGAGCAACCAGAGACAUGGAAUUGCCAUUUAUAGAUACAGAGAGCACUGAAGGAACAGUGAGUUUGGCAUGCAAAUUAGGAAACCAACUUUGUGCAUCUUGCGUGAGAGCUGCCCUUUAGACAUCCAGGUGAAAGUGUCAACCUGGCAAUUGCAUAUACAAGUCUGGCCCGAAAGGACAAAGUCAGCCCUGGAGAUAGAAAACCAGGAGUCUGGGCACGUAGAUGAUUUUUAGUACCAUGGUGGGUGACCUGUGGAGUAAGUUACCGAAGAGAAGAGAUCUAAGGCUCGAGGUCUAGGAAAUUCCAAUGUUUAGACUCAGGAGAGGUGAGCUGCCAGUGAGAAGGGGAAUGAGAGAGUGGGGUCCAAUUAGCAAGGUGAAGUGUUUCCGGGAAGAGGGUGUAAUGAACUCAGUCAAGUGCUAGAGUUAAGAACGAUUAAGUAAGAUGUGGAGAUCAUCAUUGACAUUAGUAAGAGCUGUCAGGUGGGAAGCCGAUUCAAGUGCUUCAAGAGAGAAUGAGAGAGGACAAGCUGGGAACAGCAGGAUGGACAACUCCUUCCAGGAGUUUUGCUAUAAGAGGGAGCUGAGAAAUGGAGCAAUAUUUAGAAAAACAUGUGGGUUCAAGAGAGGUUUUUAACUUAUUUUUUUAGACGGAAAGUCCUAGAGUAGAUUUGCAUGUCACUGGAAUGAUCCGGUGGAGAGGAGACAGCCAGUGAUGCAGGGGAGUGAAUAAGGAAUUGCCAGAGCAAUAGCUAUGAUGUGGGAAAAAUUCAUCAAGUUUAAUUUGUGGCUUUUAAUUAUGCUCUUUUUCAUGAAUAGUUUUUAUAUUGACUUGUAAAUUGACUUACACUUAGAUUCUUGCUAUUGUUUGUUUCUGAAUGAAAUGAAUAAAAUAUUUUUUUAGCUUCAAAUGUCUUUUUAAAAAAUUGAGAUAUAAUUGACCUAUAAUGUUGUAUAAGUUUAAGGUGUACAGUGUGUUGAUUGGAUACUAUCUAUGUCUUGCAAUAUGAUUACCAUCCUAGCGUUAGCAAACACUGUUGUCGCUUCACAUAAUUAUAUUUCUUUUUUGUGGUGAGAGCAAUUAAGAUCUAGUCUCUUAGCAACUUCGAAUU